GGAGAAGAUUGUAAUCGUGGUGUGAGGCUACCCGGAGCUCUAUGACACAACGUGUCUACUCUACAGAGACCACAACAAAAAGGAGCAGGCUUGGGUGAAAGUCGCCGAGGAGACUGGUGUACUUGACCACCAAGCACCGGACUCUCCCAACAGCAGUGACACAGAACCUGCUCCUGCUGCCUCUCCCGCUGACGGCUCUGCUUCUGGCUCUUCUUCUGGCCCUGCCACUGCCCCUGCUGCUACACAAGGGAGAGCACCCAACGUGACAAGAAGGGCCAGGAAGAGAGGGAGGGAGGACGCAGAGACCAGGCAGAGCCAAAUUGAGGAGCUGCUCCUGGAGGCCCUCAAGAGGCAGGCGCAGCCUGGUCCACCUGCUCCACCUGAUCCUCCUCGUCAGCCUCCCUCGGAGGAUGAAAUGUUCCUCCUCAGCCUGGUUCCUUCCCUGCAGAGAUUGUCGCCCCAGCGGAAGGAGUAUGUGAAAUUUCACAUACACAAAUUAAUUUUUGAAGCCAGCCCUGUUGUGCUAAAUUUUGAUCAUUGUGAGUAGCUUUUUAGCUAAUGGUGCAACAAUCUCUGCAGGGAACGAACCACGCUUGUCCGUUUUUUAAAAAUAGGUGUCCCUGAGGCCUCCAUUUCAAAUUGUUCACCCAAGCCUGCUCCUUUUUGUUCUCUGUAGAGUAGACACGUUAUUUGUAUAU